ensembl:lncRNA
GUGCAUUCUCAGCUCAUGCUUUAUUGCUAAAACAUAUACAUACAGGUGCAGUUUCAAACUCUCACAAUAGUUCCUUUUCCAAAGAGUCAAAUUUCUUCAAAACUCCCAAAGAUGCAUAGAUUAGGAAGCUGCCUUUUGUAGUGCUUCAAACAUUCAGUGCAGCUCUUGUAACAUAACCUCAUACACCGACGGUUUGAUGCAAGGUACAUGGAAGAGCAAGCAAACAGCAACACCUGUGCUUGAAGGCAAGCCAGCCACACCACUCUCAGGUAGAUUACUUGGAUAUUCUUAACCCUUCUCAUUAUAGGGAUAGGUGGGUGUAAGGUUAAUGCCCAGACAGAAAUGUUUAAAGACUGGUAACACGAUGACAGAACACCUGUCUGAUCCCAGGGCCUAAGUGCUCUCUAAGAGCUGUGUCCCAAGCAGAAAAACAAAAACACAAACUCACACAAACUCAAACACAGCACACCAUUACCAAAGGUGUCAAAAUGUUUUGAAAAUCUUCAGUAAUCAUAAUUAUAUUCUGACUUUAAAGGUAUUUAAAGUCUGAGCUCUACCAAAUAUACACUUAAUUUUCAUGUAUAAUCUGUUUUAACUGACUUUAGUAGACUAUCAGAGUUAGAGGACUAAGUGUUUGUUAGAGGAAAGAACUUAACCAUUCAUCUUUAUUGGCUGGCAGAAUAUCAGGAAGUGGCAAAGAACAUUUCUAUUUGGGACAAACCACACACCCCAAUUCCUGUACUUCAGUGGGAAGCAAACACCACACUGACAACUAUGAAUUCAGUUCUCAAAGAUGGAAGUUACCAUUCUAGGUCACAUCCACAGCAAAGCACCACAACAAAAGUUAAAUUUCGCCAGGCAAUGGUGGGGCAUGCCGUUAGUCCCAGCACUCAGGAGGCAGAGGCAGGCGGAUCUCCUGAGUUCGAGAUCAGCUUGGUCUACAAGAGCUAGUUCCAGGACAGCCUCCAAAGCCACAGAGAAACCCUGCCUCAAACCACCACCCCCCAAAAAGUUAAAUUUCAAACUAUUUUUCCAUCAUAUGACAUGUAAAUUGAAUUAAACCCAGUGAAAGUUUUAUUUGAACUGAAUUCUAUUUAGGUCUUUCAUACAUUAUAAAUACUUCUCAUUAAUUGCCAAAACUAUUUGUUAUUUGAUCAUUUCCAAGUCAAGAAAUCUAAGAAAUUCUUAUGCUGCCAAAUAUGGCUAUUUUUGGUAGUGCUGGCAACUGAACCUAUUUUCUCAGGUGGCUCUGCCACUGUAUUACACUUCUGCUCCUUUCACCAAUGUUUGUUCACCCAAAUAAAUGUUUUGUUUUUUGGAAGAAGACAAACUUUUCCUGUUCAUCAGGAAUCAAAAGUUUUAGGCAAGAUCCAUACUUUAGACCAACUCAUUUAAAGUAAAACUCUAGCUCAACUACUGUAAAUACAACAGCAAUGGCAGAACUUCUUCGACUCUGCAGAGACUCUUAGUGCUGGGCUACUUACAGAUAGUAUCAGCACCUACGGAAGUAAGUGCACACUGAUGCUACACACCUCCAAGAUACUCAUGUGUUUUCUGUGAAGGAGUCUAGCUGUGGCACACAGGCUGGCUUCUGUCUGUUCAGGGACUGCAGAGCAUGCAUCCGGCUUAAUCUAUUUUAAGAAACCCCAAACUUACUCUACAUAAAACUAAUGAAACAAACCUCACAGCUAGUUGUUUAGAAAACUGAACACUUAUUUCUGAAUUAAGAUGACUGACCCUAUAUAGGUUAUUUCUCAAUUCUGAAACCCUGCACCGUCCAGAUUAUAGCAGCUUAUUCAACAUGCUUAGUUUGUCUUUUAUUUGCAAACAUGCUUGGGAAUAAAUAGAGCUAGGAAACAGAGUGAGCACUGCUUGCUGUAUUCCUAACAGUAUGAAUGUCUUGUGGUUGCCCCUUGUUUAUCUUGUACUUCCCAUUUUUCAGUGGAAGUAAGACAAUCUUUAAUUAGAAAAUAAAAAUAAUUCAAACAAUAAAAUCAAGCUAUUGGUUUAAGUAUCUAUUGCUUCAUUAUUAAUAAAUGCAUAUAGAAAAUUACUAGUAACUACCUAAUAAUGAGAAAUUUCAACCAUGCAUUAGAAUUUCAGCAUUCUAUAAUCAGUUAUGGGCCUGCUAGUAUUGCUUACACUUUCAACCAGGCCUGGUUUUAAUAAACAUGCAAACCCUUUGAUUCAGAACUGUGGGAAAAGCAAUGAUACAUGCAAAACUUCAGCUGAGUAUGUCAGUCAAAUACCUUAGAGAUGCAUUCUGGUACACUGUAUCUACUACAACGCUGCUUCAAAACAGAAACAAGUCAUAUACAAAAAGGUUAAACUUAAGACUUCUAUUUAGCAUUAUAAAGGGCAUUUAGUACAACUGGACUCACAUGCUAUGGAUUCUUUUAUGUAUGGAUUAAUCUGUUCAACUAAUGAUUUGGGUGUUUACUCAAGCUGAUAAGCACAACACUAUUUUAUUUUUUUGUAUUGGUAACUGCAGUAAAAUUCUUCAAUUCUCAAAAAAAGAAAGAGAAAGAAAGAAAGAAAGAAAGAAAGAAAGAAAGAAAGACUUCUAUUUAAUUCUACUAAAAGACUUAGCUAGAAAUCCUGGCCCUUUGAGGGUAAAAAAUGUUUAAAGCCCUGGAAAAAGGAACUGAGGUGACUGUCUUUUUGGAGCAGUAAGUUUUCUUGGCCACUUAUUGAGAGCUGUAUGGGUGGUGAGGAUACUUAGGCAGAAUGGGUUCUUUUCUGAUUCACAUUAAUGAACAGCUCCCUGGGGAAAGUUAAGGAGCAGAGCUACAACAAUGUAAACUCAAGCAGUAAUGCCCUGAAAUUUAGCAUAGCCCUCUGCAUUUUAAAACUCUCGGCCAAGGGGCUUUUCCAAAAUGGUAUAAUUAAUAGCCAAGCAAUGUUCUAAAUAAACUAGAGACAAUUUGCUUGCACCUACAGCACCAUGAGAAUGUAAACUCCUGAAGGUGGGGGGGGUUCCUCUUCAUAUUUUGCAUAUCACAGGUACACAAAGAGUAAACAAGAGACUACAGGAAGAUUGAAUACUAAUUAACCACAUACUUUGAGACCACAAAAUCUUGUAGCAUAGUUUUACACUUAGAACUAUAAACAUGGCUGUUAAGGGUAAUCUCUGAUGUAACUGAAUUAGCCAUGUGUCCAUGAUCAUACAGAUGUCUGAAUAUUGCUUGGUUGACUCAAAACCUAACAUGGACAUCACAGGACAUUUAAAGAGAAACUACACUCAGUAUAGCCUUUUCCCUACUCUUAGGCUUGUAAUAAAAUAACUCAUUAGAGUCUGAGAUCUACAAAACUACUCUUAAUUAUUUUUCCCCUGGGAAAACAAAGGAACACAGACCCAGAUCUUUUCAGAUGUUCAAGUGGCCACAAUGGACAUGAGGUAAAGGAAUCGAGGAGUCACCCCAGUUCCACUCUUAGAUUCUGAUGUGAGCUGCGUGACUCCUCAGAUCAAGAAAGGGAUGAGUUUGCUGCGUUCUCCUUGUUAAAAAAAUAUGCAGUCACACACAGGCCAUAAGCUUCAUCACAUACAUAUAUCAGACACAUACAUAACCCCCAGGCUCCAUACUGCCCAGUCAUUUUGUUUAUCUUUCAUCCCUAACUUCCUUGAUCUAAGUACAAGGAAAAGCCAGCAAGUUCUUGAGGCUACCUUCCCCACCCUCCAGACACACCAAUCACACACAAAAACAAAUUUUUCUUUUUGAAAAAGUAGCCAGGAAGCCAAUGAACAAAGGUUACAGAGUAUACCUCAUUCUACACAAUAAAUGACUAAUAAUAAGAACAAUUUAAGCAAGACCCCUACUUGUUGGCUUCACUGGGAAUAUAGAAGUACAUUUGUUUCCAGGUUAAGCACUAGAAAGAUUUUAACUGCUGUAAACUCUGGGGAAACAAAAUAGUCUUUAACACAUAUAUGAAAGUUGUUGUUUUUCACACGGCACAUUCAUAUACAUUCAUAGUUUAAAUGCUUUUUAACCUAUGAUGUAUUUUCCUUUUGUGGACUCUAUAAGACUGCAGAAGCCCACAAAUUCAAAUAGUAAUCACUCAACCAUACAGCUUUGUGAACACUAUUUGCUAUACAUGCAAAACUGUUAUUGCUACUAAAUUCCACCUCUUUAACAUUUUUAGUUCAUUUAUGGCUUUUUUUUUGCAAUAGGAAAUAUCCUUUCCUAUAUACUGUGCUACUUUAUAUGCAUUACUUUUUCAAGUUUUUCUCCCUUUGUUUCUUAAAUUUAAAUGCUUUUCAGAAGCAGUUUCACCCAGGUGAUAUUCUACAGGGAUCUAUUCCUGGGUCCCUGGAUAGCUAAUACUACUCAUACCUAGUUUGUGUGGGAAAAAGUCACAUUAAAAACAAUUUUAGAUUUUCUAUCACACUAAUGUAAUUCGUAGGUCCUAGACUCUCUUUUCUUUUGGUUUUCUGAGACAGGAUCCCAUGUAGCUCAGAUUGACCUCCAACUCACUAUGUAACAAAGGAUAACCUUGAACUCCUGAUCCUCCUGCCUCAGCUUUUCAAAUUCUGGGUUUACAGGCAUGGACAACCACACCUGGCAGGACUCUAAUUCUAAAAUUAAAACAAAACAAACAAAAACCCAAGACCCCACAACACUCCAGAAAACUGUUCCGUCCAAGUUUCCUAGGCAACUUUUAGAGGUAGGAAUUUCAUUUUACAGAAAACUUUCUUUUUUCAAAACAAAGCAACUACUUUAUUUCCAUAAGGAAAGUAGGAAAAAAAGCCUAGAAUACAAGAGACUCCAGACUGCCCACAAGGUUCUGCAAUUAGCGCAUGUGAUGCAAACAGGAAAGAAAAUGGCCAGAGAUUAAAUGUGCUAAAGCAAUUAGCAUAGCAUCUCAGACAUGCAAAAUAGAAAAUAAUUCUCUGGACACAAAAUAGGGAAAAUGAACCCAAGACAUACAAUACAAAUAUGAGCAAGCUAGCUUCAAACUAAGAGAGCAAGACAUAAGCAUGAAAUGAGGCCUUGCUCUGAGGGCUGAAAAGCUACAAAGGCUAACAUUUCCCCAAGCACAAUGUUUCUCAAUGUGAACCCACAUUUCUGUUCAGACAUUAGUUGUUUUGGCCUUUAUGUCCUAUCCCCAGGGAGGAUAUCACAGAUUCAUACACAAAAAGUAAAGGUCUAGAAUUUUCCACUCUUUUUACACUACUAGUUAUUAUCACUAUUUCAUCCUGAAGUUUAAAAUUAUGCUAAAUUCAUGCACUAACCCCUAACAUGGCACUACAAUAUGCUACCAAGUACUACUGCUUACAAAACUAUACACAUCUCAAAAUGGAAGACAUUGGUGAUUUUGUUGUUCUUAAACAACUUGUAACACUUGUCCACAAGUAUUAAAAUAUACAUAUAUAUAUAUAUAUUUAUAUUGCACAUAUCCCGUUUUUGUUUAGUAACUUCAAAGGAAAAACUGCCAGCUUCCAUGGAGAAGGGAGGAGGCGCGGCUACAUGUGGAAGCACAGCCCUAAAAUGGUAGUUUUUGCUGCUAUUAAGAAAACCCAAGCAAGACUAUAAAAUGAAAAUGUACUGCACACCAGGCAACUACAGCUGGAACAACCCAGGCUAUGAAAUGCCAUCUGGUGCUAACAAUGCAGGGCACAGGAGCAUCUUUGACAAAGGGAACUCAACUUAAACUUGAAGGUUUAAGCUACAAAUGUGAAGCAUUUGGAGCAAAAGGUGACACCUCCUUGGUGGUGACAGCCCUGCCACAGGGCCUUAGCCCAUAAAGUUGCCCAAGGUAAGGUGCAGGAACUGUCACCAGCUGGCUUCCAUUGUCUUCUAAAUGAAAAUAUAAGUGGCUGGGGUACUUAAAGAGGAAAUUUGGGUUAUAUUUUUGUUGCAUUUUGAGACAGGUCUGUCAAUCAGGCUGGCUUUGAUCUUGUGGCCAAUACUCCUGCCUCAGACUCCAAAAUGCAGUGGUUACAGGUGUGGGGUAACAAGUCCAGCAAUUUAGGUUAAAUUUAAGCCUUAUUUCUCUAGUGUUGUAUCAUUAUUUGCUCUCAUUAAAAGGUUUUUUUAUAAUAAGUAUUUAAGAAAAAAAAACUUUCAGUAUAAAUUCAAAUUUGUUGCCCAAUCUGACUAAAUUAUUAGAAUAUUCAAAUUUCCCAAUUUUGAUCCUUUCUAUGACUCAAAUUCACAGCACUGGGAAAUGGUUCCAGAAAUCAGCUCCAAGAGCACCUGUUCCUUCUCUACUGGCAACCAUUGCAACCAUUUCAACAGUUCCCUCCCUUGUAAAAGCCUGGCAUCACAUAAAAUAGACUUCUCUUGAUUUGGAAGCAAAGAGAGGUUUUCACAAUGGUUCCUUAUAACUGUUAAUUAAAGGAAAAAAACAAACAUGCAUUAUUUCUUGGAACUAGUUUUGAGGUCUCCCUACCCCCACCCUGAAUUUCAUUUAAAUCUACAGCGACUGGCAAUAGGAUCCACACUUCUUACUAGACCUGCUUUUCUUAUUUGAAGUUUUGUUCAGAUCCUGAAUUUCUUCCAAGAGUAGAUAGAGUUGAUUGACCACAGCACUAGGAACAUUGCUUCUGAGGUCCAUUCUCUGGUAAGGAAGUUCAAUUCAAACUGGGAAAAUUUACCUGAGUCCCAGAAUUUCAGCCUUACAUUACAUUAUCACCUAGAAAAAUAAAUGUCCAAGUACCCAUCUUGGGAUAAAGGAAGUUAUUUAUGCUUUUAUAAAAAAUGCAAGUACAUAAUGUAAAAAUGCUGAAAAGUCAGAUGAUGCUACAUAAGACAUCACCGCUUCUUUUUCUUAGAAGGAUUUAUAUGCGGAGUUAUUUUUUUCCUUUACUCCUCUAGGUCCAAAGUUGUUGAAGGCAAGUUACAAUAUAGGGUCCAUCACAUAACACAUAUUCUACUUUCUUUCCAGCCACAGCUGCACAGAAAACCAAAGUCUCAUGUGCUACAUUCGAUUCCACAAAAAAAAAAAAAAAAAAAAAAAAAUCUUGAAAAACAAGAGUGGUGUUACUGGGUUCAUUUUUUUGUUUGUUUGUUUGUUUGUUUUGUUUUCAUUUUUCUGCUGUUUUUGAGAUAGCUUUACCAUGUGGCUCAAGCUGAACCUGAACUUCUGAUCUUCACUGGCAGUUUGAGGCAAGCAUCAGCCCAGCCUGUUCUCUUCCCACUUUGAACUAGCUGCAGGCUAGCUGGUCCUUCCUGAGGAGGAUGAAAAAGCAAAGCAAAAGAGACAAAACUCAAACACUCAAGACCAUCAAACUGUCCAAAGCCCUCCCAUGAAACAAUAGCUUUCAUCUCCAAGAGGAAAAUCGUAUUUAAAAACAAAAACAUGGAAUUAUACAUAUAAAAAUGUGACUCUGCACACAAACUGCAAUGGCUUCACUUCCAUGUGAAAUCAACCCUGAUAUCUUUCUUGUCUUUUGCUUUUGUCAUACCGGUGAUUUGUUUUUGCCCAGGAAUCUGUCAGAUGGUGAGCCAGGAUUUAGAUAACGUUUCUUUCACCUCAAAUUAUAAUGGAUAUUUGGAAUUUACCACUGCAGUCUCAAGUGUGCUUAUAAUAGUGUUAAAACUGGCAGAAUUAAAAAACAAAACAAAAACCUGAAGUCAUCCACACAUGGUAUUUGUAUAGUUUGUUGUUUGGAGCUUUUAAAGGAAGAAUUCACAAUGCACAAUCUAAGCACCUGUUUCAAAUUAAACAUCUUCCUUCCAGUUGCAAACAGUGUCUUUCUAAUGAAGCAAACUGCAGCAGAAGACCCUUGCCAGUUGGUUUUUUCUUCCUGAAGUCAGCAGACAGCUGCAUUCUCCGGCUUCUCUGUGCCGAGUCUGAGGUGGAAUAAAGGAAAGCAGCCUCUCCAUUCCAAACCAUGGAGGCCCCUGUAGAAAGCCAUCUGAAUUUCACCAAGGAAAGUGGCUGUAUGAAAGAACCAGGAUGCCCCACUGAGAAGACAACAUAGAAAGUCCUG